GCUUGGGUGUUCUGGGAGCUCCUCUAGCUAUUCAUUUUGGGUUUUGGCAUUUUUGUUCUUUUACACCUUUGUUUCUAAAGCCAUGGAGUUCGCUUUCUACUCUUUUCUCUAGCCCUCUAGUCCACCGAUUUUUGUCAUUCAUUCCCUUUUAUUCAAUUGGUAUUCCCCUCUUUGGGCGAGGAGCACUUGUCUUUCCUUUCAUAAACCCUUUUCAGUUUCUAGCCAUACUGGUGGAUCAACUCAUACCUUCUUCUCCUUUUCC
rnacentral:lncRNA from 1 species